GUGUUGGGUAUAAAAUACCCCCCAGUCGAAGUUUGUGACAGGAGUGACCCUUCGGAGAUUCUACCGACUUCCGAUCUUCAACGACAUCUCUCCGAACCUCUCUGGCGGUCGAGCCUCCGCAACACUCCCAAGUUUUGCCGACGGAUAAGCCCCCACCAGUGUCGACCGGAUUCUUCACGACGGACAGACUCCACCCAAGUUUCCACGA
rnacentral:lncRNA from 1 species